AUUGAACGCUGGCGGCAUGCUUUACACAUGCAAGUCGAACGGCAGCACGGGCUUCGGCCUGGUGGCGCGUUGCGAACGGGUGAGUAAUUUAUCGGAACGUACCCAGCCUUGGGGGCUAACGUAGCUAAAGUUACGCUAAUACCGCAUACGAUCUAUGGAUGAAAGCCGGGGACCGCAAGGCCUUGUGCUCCUUGCUCUCCCCAUUUCUGAUUAGCUAGUUGGUGAGGUAAAGGCUCACCAAGGCGACGAUCAGUAGCUGGUCUGAGAGGCCGACCAGCCACACUGGAACUGAGACACGGUCCAGACUCCUACGGGAGGCAGCAGUGGGGAAUUUUGGACAAUGGGCGCAAGCCUGAUCCAGCAAUGCCGCGUGAGUGAAGAAGGCCUUCGGGUUGUAAAGCUCUUUUGUCAGGGAAGAAACGGUAGAGGCUAAUAUACGUUGGUAAUGACGGUACCUGAAGAAUAAGCACCGGCUAACUACGUG
rnacentral:rRNA from 1 species